rnacentral:rRNA from 1 species
UACGGGGGGAGCAAGCGUUGUUCGGAUUUACUGGGCGUAAAGGGCGCGUAGGCGGUCAGCACAAGUCGGUUGUGAAAUCUCCGAGCUUAACUCGGAAAGGUCAACCGAAACUGUGCGACUAGAGUGCAGAAGGGGCAACUGGAAUUCUUGGUGUAGCGGUGAAAUGCGUAGAUAUCAAGAGGAACACCUGCGGCGAAGGCGGGUUGCUGGGCUGACACUGACGCUGAAGCGCGAAGCCAGGGGAGCGAACGGG